CAAGAUCUUCUUUACCCUACUGAGUUUUUGAAUACACUCAAAUUUUCGGGUUUGCCAACACAUAUUUUAAGGCUUAAAAAAGGAGCAAUAGUUAUGUUAAUGAGAAAUUUGAAUCAAGGAGCUGGGCUAUGUAAUGGUACAAGAAUGAAAAUUACACAACUUGGAAAAUGGUUUAUGGAAGGAGAGGUGUUGAGUGGAUCUAUCAUUGGAGAUAAAGUUCUCAUUCCAAGAAUAUCUUUGUCGCCUUCAGAAUCCAAUUGGCCUUUUAUUCUUAAUCGAAGACAGUAUCCUAUAUCAUUAUGUUUUGCCAUGACAAUAAAUAAAAGUCAAGGACAAUCGUUGCAGCACGUUGGAUUAUAUUUGCCUAAACAAGUAUUUACUCAUGGACAAUUGUAUGUCGCCAUCUCGAGAGUAACCAAUCGAAAUGGAUUACAUAUUCUUAGUAACGGCGAUGAGAAGCCCAGUGAAAACAAGGUCUUAAAUAUUGUGUACAAAGAGAUUCUUUAGUUGUUUGUUUACAUGAUUGUGCAGAAUUCUAAGACAAAAUGGGAAUGUUAUGUACACUGCAAAAAAUAGAUUGCCCUUAUACGUCAACAUGGUGGAAUGCUUGCAGCCUACUUCAUUCUUGAGGUUUUCGCUAGGGAUGGGGUGUCGUUUUCAACUACUUGUGAAAAUCUUCUCCCUGGACCUUGGAUAAUUGAUGACCUUGAUACUUUAAAAUUAAAAUGGAGCAACAACUCCUGGAAGA